GUUAAUUUACUAGGUCGUGAUAUUAAUAUUUUUGAUGACAAUAGAUAGUAGCUGAGAGAUAAUUAUCAGAAACAGUGUACCUAAUGUUGCUAUGUUUGUCGUAGGAUAUUGUCAUGGGAAAACGAAAGCUUUCUCAUCAUUUAAACCCCAGUAAAUCGAGAAAGCGAUCGGCUCGUUCCAAGUCAUUGAUACUUGCGCACAAAAAAAACGCGAAGAGAUUGGUUUCCAAAUUUUAAACGAACAUUCGUACACCUAUUCAACGUCCGUUGCUUAUUCUGCUCCUAAUACAUCGGCCGGAUCCUCAAAUGUAGAGCAAAAUGAAAGAUCCUUGGAAUCGUCGGAAUUGCGUGAUAAAAAAAGUGAAACACAAACACCAUCAACUUGCAAUACAAUCACUCAAAAACUUGUACAAAUGGUACUCUAGUUGUAAAAGAAGAGGUCCGUUGGGGAACAGGGCUUAUUAGUAAAAUUAUUUUCAAGUGUACCGCUUGUCCA